GUGGAUCACCAAAUAUAUUUGCGGGUAAUCUUUUUUUGUUAAUUAAAUAUAAUUCAACUGUAAAAAUAUGCAAUUAAUUCUUUACAGUCAGAAUAUAACCUGAUCCACUAUAACCUAAAACCGCUGUAUUAUUUAGUAAAGAUUAAUUUUGUGUGUGUUCCCUGUGUGAUAUUAAUUAUAAAUGUUGGUAGAUGUUCACAUCGUGCUUCUUUGAGGACAAUAAGAAGAUGUUGUGAUGUAAGAAACACGAGGUCUGAACAGCCAGAGACUAUUUAUUGCAUUAACUACACAAAUGAAUUCUCUCCACAAGUGAGUCUCAAUAAAAGAGAAAGAAGCGUUAAUUUAAGAUAUAAACAUUUUAAAAAGAAAAUAGAACAUGUGUGACUAACUGUACCAUCCGGGGGGUCAGUGUAAAAUAGUAAACAGCAAAUAGUCACAAAAAUCAGCAGAAUUCCACCUCAAACGAAUCAGAGCAAAUAAAAUGUCUAAAACUCACACAAUACAAAAGCACAAGCAAGAUGGCUGCUCCUUAUGUUACAGCAGGAAGCCCCACAAGAGAAUCAGACAUAGAAAGGCCCAACUGACUCAAUAAAAACACUAAUAAGAGGAAAAAACCAGUGGGUGUCUAAUGUGUUUAAAACAAAAACACAUUUAUAUUCAAAGAAAACAUUUACAAAACAUGUCAUGCAUUCAAGCAGAACGUCUGUCUGGCUUCAUCAUGAUCCCUUCCCCCAGUUCACAGUAAACGAAUUUUGGAAGGUAAUUAUUACCCAUGCAAAUCGUUUACAUUUUAUUGUUGUAUUAGUCAGCUAACAAAAUUUUUCAACAGUCUUUAUUAUGCUUUGUGUGUUUGUAACAAGCAAGAUGAGAAACACAAAAGAGCAUCACAAUGUAAAGACACACUGUAGAUUGUUGAUGUGAUAUUUGGGCCUCUUCUCCUCUGUCUCCUCUCAAAGGGAGGAGAUGAUCUGCAGGAUCCUGGUGAUCUUCAUCCUGACCUCCUGUUUCUGUGGGUCAUUUGUAGUGAAUGUGACACAGAGCUGGUAUCAUGCAGAGGAGAACCACAACAUCUCACUGGAAUGGAUGUUCCCCACCAGCACGGACCACUCCUCCAACUCCCUUUAUAUCUCCUGUGAGAUGAUAAAUCCUGAUGGACCCGCAGUCCUGUUUCAUCUAUAUGAAGGUGUCGAGGUCCCAGAGUUUCAGGAUAAACGCUUUGCAGGACGAGUCCAGUGGGACAAAGACGUCCUCAGAGAAGGACGACUCAGAAUUCACAUCUCCAGACUCCAGACUAAUGACUCGGGGCUGUACUGGUGUGAAGUGGACACAAGUUAUGGGAGGAACUAUAAGGAAUGUCACCUCAAUGUCACUGUUCUCAUCACUCAAGACGUCCAACUUAAGGUCAAGGUCGAGGUCCCAGAGUUUCAGGAUAAACGCUUUGCAGGACGAGUCCAGUGGGACAAAGACGUCCUCAGAGAAGGACGACUCAGACUUCACAUCUCCAGACUCCAGACUAAUGACUCGGGGCUGUACUGGUGUGAAGUGGACACAAGUUAUGGGAGGAACUAUAAGGAAUGUCACCUCAAUGUCACUGCAGUGAAGGAUCGGCCCGAACAUGAGACAACGAGUGAUACGAGUCUGAGAGGAGAUCCUCGAGGAAGGAUCGGUCUCUGUGCACUGGGACCAGCAGCAGCUCUACUUGCUUCCUUUUUUUGCCUGUGCAUUGCCAAAAAGAUUUAUGAUCAGCAGAACAAACGAUGCAUCAGAACCACAAUUGAAGUCAUUGAUCCUUUAAUUGUUUGCACAGAAACAGUCUCAAACUGUUCUGACUGAAGUCCAGCUGAGACACAUCUGGAUCCUCGGAUGUGUCAUGUGUGUCUCAUGAAUCAACAGCAGCCAGCAUGAAGGUCUCAGCUACUUGUUUCCUUCUCUUGUCUCUGCAUUGCAAAAAAAAGAUUCCUUCAAGUGUUUGCACAGAAAGAGUCGUAGGAUCCAGGGGCGGAAUGGCCGUCUGGGAUACUCGUGGUUGAACGACGUGGUUUUGGCUCUCCUGCUGACAUUUUGGGCCCUGUAGUAUUCUAUGCUUCACAGAACAGUUAUAUUUAGUUAUUUAUUUAUUUAUAUUUUAAAUCUUAAGGAAUUACUGACGGAGAUUUCUUGCGAUCUGUAUUCAUGUUUUCUAAUCUCUUCCGUCACUCUAGCAUUAUCAUAUGAAAAAAACGUAUCAUUACGUAUUAUUUAUAUCUUCUCCCACAAUUUAUCCAGCGUUCUGAUUGGUUGAUAGUGAGUUACGGGGAUGUGCAUUAUUUAGCGAUAAUGUACAGUUGCUGUUCACAUUGACCCGAGCGAUAUCACUCCGCACUCAAAGUAACUAUGGGGCUCCGUUUGUAAAACGCCGCACGUUCUAAAAUCCUGCGCAGUUUUGCUACAUUUAGCAUAUGAACAAAUAAGCACGACAAUAUUCACAUGUCACUUUUUCAAACAUUUAGAGAGAAAUUCAUGUACAUUCAUGCAAUAACUUUUCCAAGGACAAUGUUUGGCAGUAACAAAGUUGUUAAAUAAUAUAUUUUAAUAUAUUAUUUCUAUAUAGACCCCACAUAGCAUUCUUUUUAUGUUUUAUUUGAAUUAAAAUUGCCUUUGAGUACUAUGAAAAGGGCUAUACAAGUAUUAUUAUUUUCAAUACAGUGCACAUUCACCAUUAAUUAAUUAACUAAUAUGAAUAACUCCUUACCAAAAGCUAGAAUUAUUAAUUACUCAGGAAAGGUGGGUAAAAACCAUCAAACGAAAACACUGUUUUCUUGUUUUUCGUUUGAAACCAAAACUGGUAAAACGUUUUUUUUUCUCACUAGACAACAAGCAUAAAGAGAUUAUUUCAUUGCUUCCAUGUGACCUUUAAUGUGACCCUCAGAGUGACCUCUGGAGCUGUGGACGGAUGCACAUCGUCAGACUAGAAUUGGGUUGGGAACCAUUGCAACAGACUACCUGCUCUUUAGCAUGUUGGACACACCAGCAUGACACUGUUACAGAAAAUGCAUUUCACGCCAAAUAACACUGAUCUGCUGAAGCCUGUUUUGGGAGGAGGUUGUUUUAAAACUGUGAUUGUGAUCUUCUUGAUCUUUUUCUUUAACUGAUAACUUAAAGAGCCAAGUUCAAUUAACACAAACACAUCUCAAAGAAGUCAACACAAAGCAUUACUGUAAGUUUAAGUGUUAACUUGAACAGUUAAGUUCAAAUCUAAAACUUGUCAGAGCUCUUUGAGUUAAAGACAAGAAGAAAGUGGACAUAACUAAACGGGGCGGUGAUGUUUUACAGUGCGGUUCGACCUGUGUUCUCGGUGUCCUUGCGCUCCAGUGCCUCACAGCAGCACACUGCUAAGGCUGCGUAAAAUGCAGAGAAUCAUUUCCCCAUGUGGGAUUAAUAAAGGAUUAUAAAUAAAAUUAUUAUUUUUUUAAAAACACAUUUCCCCCAGCCCCUCGCUCAGCACCUGUAAUACCUCUGCGCCCCACAGUUUGAGAACCACUGCUUUAAGUGUUUGCACAGUAACAGUCUGAGGUGUUCUGACUGAAGUCCAGCUGAGACACAUCUGGAUCUUUGGAUGUUUCAUGUGUGUCUCAUGGAUCAACAGCACCAUGAAGGUCUCAGUGGACGUCUACAGAGACAAUUGUGACAAAUUGACCAGGUAGCACUACAUUAUCACUUAUGAUGGCGCUUACUGCUUAUAGCACUUUUUACAGAUUAGAUUUCUUGAAGAAUGUGUACUUUCCUGAUUGUUGUUGUUCUGGUUCUGUUCCCUCUUGAUUGAAUUAGCUUAUAAGUCACUUUGGAUCAAAUCAUUGGCUGGGUGAUAAAUGUAAAGCACUUUGACGGGUCUGAGACUAGAAAAGCGAUUUAGUCAAUUUACCAUUUAGUGUGUUUAUGUCCAUUAACCUUAUUGUAUUUGUACAAAAGAAAUGUGAUAAAUGCCUUUAACGUGUAACCAAAAUUGUGUAUUUCAUGUACGUUCUGUGUUGGAAUGGAGUCCUUGU
ensembl:lncRNA